rnacentral:lncRNA from 1 species
AGCUUGAUUACGAAUUCAACUCUGCUUUGCAUGACCCUCAGUUCCAGGUUUUUCUUAAAUUCCCUUACUUGUACAUGUAACUAUUUUUUUAUACGUUUUCACGUACUCCUACACAGUUCUAGAGAGUUGUUUCCCAUGAGUAUCCUUGGGCUAAUUUAGCUGAACAAUAUUAUCAGAGCCCAGAAUCAGUAGGAGCAUGACGAUUACAAAGUGAUGAUGCGAGGCUCGGUUUGGAGACGUGCACUCAAAAAGAAGCUAGUAGCAGGCUUCGAUUGCCAUAAAUACUCUAAAAAUGUGCAUGGCACACAAUGAAUCACGUAAGUUGACCCAUGGAUUGUGAUAGUGGCCACGUAAAAAUUGAUCCAUCUCCAUACCAAUACUUCGGACAAGAUACAUAUCCAGGGAAGAUCCAUCCCUCAAUAUCAUCAACUGCGCUCACAGGGGGGUGUAAAGACUCCGGAGGGGAUUCUCUGAGCUUAAGCGAUAUAUCAAUGCCAGCGAAGGCAUGAUCAGUAUCUUGCUGCGGUGUGUAGCCCUAUCCCAUACUGUCAAUCAAUAUCAGGCUCUCGGCCUUACUCAGUCAAUGCUCUCCAGUCUCACACGCAUAUGCUAAGAUGUCAUGAUACAAGCCCGAAUAAUGAUAUGAUAUGUCAAAUGUAAUAAUCGAGACUGAAGCAUGAUAUAAUAUGCAUGAACAGGAUUGAGUAUAGAAUAUAAAUGAAGCUAAUAACAUGACAGCAAGAAAAGACCUCUCGGGUCUCAACAGUAUUAGCGUG